rnacentral:rRNA from 1 species
GUCGAGCGAAGCUAAAUUUCGGUUUAGUGGAAAGCGGCGGACGGGUGAGUAACGCGUGGGAAUUUACCAUAGAGUGGGGGACAACUGCUGGAAACGGCAGCUAAUACCGCAUACGCCCUAAGGGGGAAAGGCUUCGGCCGCUCUUUGAGAAGCCCGCGUACGAUUAGUUUGUUGGUGGGGUAAUGGCCUACCAAGACUACGAUCGUUAGCUGGUCUGAGAGGACGAUCAGCCACACUGGGACUGAGACACGGCCCAGACUCCUACGGGAGGCAGCAGUGGGGAAUAUUGGACAAUGGGCGAAAGCCUGAUCCAGCGAUGCCGCGUGAGUGAAGAAGGCCUUAGGGUUGUAAAGCUCUUUCGGUGGGGAAGAUAAUGACGGUACCCACAAAAGAAGCCCCGGCUAACUCCGUGCCAGCAGCCGCGGUAAUACGGAGGGGGCUAACGUUACUCGGAAUUACUGGGCGUAAAGCGAGCGUAGGCGGUUAAUUAAGUUGAGGGUGAAAGCCCGGGGCUCAACCCCGGAAAUGCCCUCAAAACUAGUUAGCUAGAGGACGGGAGAGGGGAGUGGAACUCCCAGUGUAGAGGUGAAAUUCGUAGAUAUUGGGAAGAACACCAGUGGCGAAGGCGACUCUCUGGACCGUUUCUGACGCUGAGGCUCGAAAGCGUGGGUAGCAAACAGGAUUAGAUACCCUGGUAGUCCACGCCGUAAACGAUGAGUGCUAGACGUUGGGAGGAACGCCUCUCA